GCCGUACUAGAGAAAUGGUUAACUCGUCGGCCUUCUAUUGCAAGUUCAAUAAGCCGAAGAUUCUCGGUUCGAGUCCGGGGUACGGUG
rnacentral:tRNA from 1 species